GCCCUUUGGGGCAUAUGGUCAAAUAAAAAUAUACAGAGAAGAUUAGCAUGGCCCCUGCACUAAGGAUGACACGCAUAAUCAAAGAGAAGCACAAAUUUUUU
rnacentral:snRNA from 1 species